UCCCUGGUGGUCUAGUGGCUAUGACUCUGCACUCCCAAUGCAGGGGUCCAGGUUCAGUCCCUGGUCAGGGAA